rnacentral:piRNA from 1 species
UAAGGAAUGCUUUCUCAAGAA